rfam:Mus musculus chromosome X, GRC primary reference assembly.
AUGGCUCAGUGGUUAAGAGUACUGGACUGCUCUUCCAGAGGUUCAGGGUUCAAUUCCCAGU